GUUCUGACUCUCAUGUCUCCAUUGAAGGCGCUUUUUGGACUUCACCUAUCAGUGGUUUUAAAGUUGAAGAUGAGCAAAGUAGUAUGUUUAGCUCAUUGCACGGAUUGGGACAUUUCCUGGUGUCCCCAGAUGUGGGGCACCAAGGAGCAAACCUGGGACAAUGUGACAGGAACCUAAAAUUGAGAGAUUUGGUAGUCAUGAGACAACACAAGUAGAGACAGGUGAAGAAUGAGAUACAGAUGGGGGGAUAGGAAGAUGGGGUAAAAGGAGGCCAGCUACCAGGCCUAUGGUGAAAGACCUCUAAGAGAGAGAAGGAGCAACAGUGAGACUUGGUGAGCAGCUGGAGAAACCAUGCAACCUACACAGAGAGAGUCAACACACUCACAAGCCAAAACUUUCACCGGAGAGCAAAAGGUGGCUUAAUGACACCCCUGACAAAAACACUGCCAUGGUUAAAAUAGUAAUGGAGAACAAAACCGACCUGGUUGGCACAGAGAAGGCAGGAAGGGAAUAAAAGCCGCAACAGUCUAG